rnacentral:tRNA from 1 species
CCAAAUAUAAAGAUUAAACUUUUUUUAGAA